UACGUAGGGGGCUAGCGUUGUCCGGAAUCAUUGGGCGUAAAGAGCGCGUAGGCGGCCCGAUAAGUCCGCUGUGAAAGUCCAGGGCUCAACCCUGGGAUGCCGGUGGAUACUGUCGGGCUCGAGUCCGGAAGAGGCGAGUGGAAUUCCUGGUGUAGCGGUGAAAUGCGCAGAUAUCAGGAGGAACACCAAUGGCGAAGGCAGCUCGCUGGGACGUGACUGACGCUGAGACGCGAAAGCGUGGGGAGCAAACAGG
rnacentral:rRNA from 1 species